AAGGUCGUAACAAGGUUUCCGUAGGUGAACCUGCGGAAGGAUCAUUACAAAUAAAGCUGGUAGGAAGUGGGGUUCUUGAUCUGUAAGUGGUAGAGCGAACAGUCCGGCUGCCUCCCGAAACUGUCUUACAUGUCCCCCAUAGCCUGAAGGCCGAAUUACACCUUGGUUAUCACACUGUUGCUUUGGGGAUGCUCAAGUGCCCCAGAGGACCCAACUCUCUUGCAUCUAGUGACGUCUGAGUACUAUAUAAUAUUUCAAAAU
rnacentral:misc_RNA from 1 species